rnacentral:hammerhead_ribozyme from 1 species
AUCUAGCUGACGAGUCUCAAAUAAAACGAAAUUCACAUUCUGGAU